rnacentral:rRNA from 1 species
CCUACGGGGGGCUGCAGUGGGGAAUAUUGGACAAUGGGGGGAACCCUGAUCCAGCCAUGCCGCGUGUGUGAAGAAGGCCCUCGGGUUGUAAAGCACUUUCAGUGAGGAAGAACGCCUGGUGGUUAAUACCCAUCAGGAAAGACAUCACUCACAGAAGAAGCACCGGCUAACUCCGUGCCAGCAGCCGCGGUAAUACGGAGGGUGCGAGCGUUAAUCGGAAUUACUGGGCGUAAAGCGCGCGUAGGUGGCUUGAUAAGCCGGUUGUGAAAGCCCCGGGCUCAACCUGGGAACGGCAUCCGGAACUGUCGAGCUAGAGUGGAGGAGAGGAAGGUAGAAUUCCCGGUGUAGCGGUGAAAUGCGUAGAGAUCGGGAGGAAUACCAGUGGCGAAGGCGGCCUUCUGGACUGACACUGACACUGAGGUGCGAAAGCGUGGGUAGCAAACAGGAUUAGAUACCCCUGUAGUC